rnacentral:lncRNA from 1 species
GGAGGCUUUAUUUUCAUGAAGAAAUUACAUGCAUCCUUUCUGGUUUCUUUUUAAAGACAAAAACAAGAAAGUGGAGCGAGAGACAGAAGAUAGGUUGGGAGAGACUGUAUUCUGCUCUGUCACCAUCUAGUGACAAGAGGCUGUGGUGCUCCAGUGUAUAUCUGGUGGCCAGGUGUGGCUGUGUCUCCACUUCUAGAAGGACCAGUGAUGAUUUCCUCAGGUGCGACUUCCUGUGGGGGUGCCCACAACCACGGCGGUCCUGGCCAACUGCAUGGCUGUACUCAGCAACACCUGGGAGGAAACUCAUGGUUUGUUUCCAUCCCGUGAUUCAUCACUGAUUCAGAUAAAUGACAGAAAGCUUGAAGAAAGGGCAAUGGAUU